AGUACGGCGAGUGAAGCGGCAACAGCUCAAAUUUGAAAUCUGGCACUUGUGCCCGAGUUGUAAUUUGUAGAGGAUGCUUUUGGCGACGCGCCUUCCGAGUUCCCUGGAACGGGACGCCAUAGAGGGUGAGAGCCCCGUCCGGUCGUGCGCCUAGCCUCUGUAAAGCUCCUUCGACGAGUCGAGUAGUUUGGGAAUGCUGCUCUAAAUGGGAGGUAUACGUCUUCUAAAGCUAAAUACCGGCCAGAGACCGAUAGCGCACAAGUAGAGUGAUCGAAAGAUGAAAAGCACUUUGAAAAGAGGGUUAAAUAGUACGUGAAAUUGCUGAAAGGGAAGCGCUUAUGACCAGACUUGGGCGCGGCGGAUCAUCCGGCGUUCUCGCCGGUGCACUCCACCGCCCCAGGCCAGCAUCAGUUCGCGCCGGGGGACAAAGGCUUCGGGAAUGUGGCUCCCUCGGGAGUGUUAUAGCCCGUUGCGUAAUACCCUGGUGCGGACUGAGGUCCGCGCUCUGCAAGGAUGCUGGCGUAAUGGUCAUCAGUGAC
rnacentral:rRNA from 1 species